rnacentral:rRNA from 1 species
GAUGAACGCUGGCGGCGUGCCUAAUACAUGCAAGUCGAGCGAACAGACGAGGAGCUUGCUCCUCUGACGUUAGCGGCGGACGGGUGAGUAACACGUGGAUAACCUACCUAUAAGACUGGGAUAACUUCGGGAAACCGGCGCUAAUACCGGAUAAUAUAUUGAACCGCAUGGUUCAAUAGUGAAAGACGGUUUUGCGGUCACUUAUAGAUGGAUCCGCGCCGCAUUAGCUAGUUGGUAAGGUAACGGCUUACGAAGGCAACGAUGCGUAGCCGACCUGAGAGGGUGAUCGGCCACCCUGGAACUGAGCCGCGGUCCAGAGUACUGCGGGAGGCCGCAGUAGGGAAUCUUCCGCAGUGGGCGAAAGCCUGACGGAGCAACGCCGCGUGAGUGAUGAAGGUCCUCGGAUCGUAAAACUCUGUUAUGAGGGAAGAACCAAUGUGUAAGUAACUAUGCACGUCUUGACGGUACCUAGUCAGAAAGCCACGGCUAACUACGUG